CAGCCGUAAACAAUGUGCGUUAGGUGUGUCGGUAACCACGCGUUACUGAUGCGCCGAAGAGAAAUCGUGAAACGCACCACCUGGGAAGUACGGUCGCAAGGCUGAAACUUAAAGGAAUUGGCGGGGGAGCACCACAACAGGUGGAGCCUGCGGUUUAAUUGGAUUCAACGCCGGACAUCUCACCGGAUAAGACAGCUGAAUGAUUGUCAAUCUGAAGGUUUUACAUGACUAGAUUUUCAGAGAGGUGGUGCAUGGCGUCAGUGACU
rnacentral:rRNA from 1 species